rnacentral:rRNA from 1 species
CUACGGGCGGCACCAGUGAGGAAUAUUGCACAAUGGGGGGAACCCUGAUGCAGCAACGCCGCGUGGAGGAUGACGCAUUUCGGUGUGUAAACUCCUUUUAUAUGUCAAGAAAAUGACGGUAGCAUAUGAAUAAGCACCGGCUAACUCCGUGCCAGCAGCCGCGGUAAUACGGAGGGUGCAAGCGUUACUCGGAAUCACUGGGCGUAGAGGACGCGUAGGCGGGUUGGAAAGUCAGGUGUGAAAUCCUACAGCUUAACUGUAGAACUGCACUUGAAACUUCUAAUCUAGAGUAUGGGAGGGGGAGGUGGAAUUAGGGGUGUAGGGGUAAAAUCCGUAGAUAUCACUAGGAAUACCUAAAGCGAAGGCGAUCUCCUGGAACAUUACUGACGCUAAGGCGUGAAAGCGUGGGGAGCAAACAGGAUUAGAUACCCCCGUAGUC